GACGAACGCUGGCGGUGUGCUUAACACAUGCAAGUGGUGCGACGAACCAGAGCUUGCUCUGGGGCAAAGCCGCGAACGGGUGAGUAACACGUGGGUAAUCUACCCCCGAUGACCGGGACAACCCGAGGAAACUCGGGCUAAUACCGGAUGUGGUACGGAGACAUAAGUCUCUUUACUAAAGGUAGCUUCGGCUUCCGCAUUGGGAGGGGCCCGCGGCCCAUUAGCUAGUUGGUGGGGUCAAGGCCUACCAAGGCAACGAUGGGUAGCUGGUCUGAGAGGACGAUCAGCCACACUGGGACUGAGACACGGCCCAGACUCCUACGGGAGGCAGCAGUGGGGAAUCUUGCGCAAUGCGCGAAAGCGUGACGCAGCAACACCGCGUGAGGGAAGACGGCCUUAGGGUUGUAAACCUCUUUCAGAUGGGACGAAGGUGAUGCGGUGAAUAGCCGAUGUCAUUGACGGUACCGUCAGAAGAAGCUCCGGCUAACUACGUGCCAGCAGCCGCGGUAAU
rnacentral:rRNA from 1 species